ensembl:lncRNA
AAGCACAGCUCUACUGGUACUGCCCUCCAAGGCCCUCUAGGCUGUAGAGCUGCAGUUCCACCUUGAAAUUGCCUGUGCUGAGUGACACCUCUGCCCUUGCUGAAUCUCCCAGUGCUCUAGGUGUCCUCCUGCUGCCUUGACCACAGGAUUGGGCAAGAAUUCUGGCAGAAAGUUGCUGGCUUUGCUCGCAAUGUAGUCUGGUUACUUCUCAUGCUGACUAGUACCUGCCUUCUUUUCUCAUUCAAAAUUCUAGGUCUUCUUUUGACCCCCUUCUCAACCACAGGUCUUUAUACAUGCCCCUAUAAUAACUUUGUCACCAUUCACCUCUCUAAAAUGUAUCAUUCCUUGGUAAGAAGUAGCUCAAAGCUACUUUCUCAGCAAAGUAUUCUUUGGCUUACCUAAUGUAACCAAGAUAUCCUGCUAUGAGAUCUCUCCUCCAGGUGUUGGACUGGCUGAUAGGGCACCUGGAAAAAUGAAAAACCCUGAGUCAAGAGCAUUUCAAAACAGUAGUUCUCAUAAUCUUUGUGAGAAUUGUUUUCUCAUUGUGACAAGCUGGUCAUACAUGUUUUAAGAUCUUGGAGAACAUAUGAAAGCCUGUCAAAUAUAUUGGCCGUGGUGAGAACAUCUUAGUAGUUUCUUUCUUAUCUCAAUAAGCUGGCACUGGUGACUAGAAAAGGAGUCUUUCCCUUUGCUAACCCUCUACCAUGAAUGACUCACACCUUCCUUAUUUCCAGAACAGCAGAAAAACGCCUGCCAAUGCAAACCUGGUGCCCACUGGAGACGAGAGGCACCACCAUGAAUGUUAAAGGCAUGGCAGUUACCCAAGAGGCCCCUGUACUCCAAAAACUGGUAAUCAGGGAGCUGCACAACCCAUUUGGACACCGGAAAGAAGAGUCCGACAUCUGAUGGGAAAUUGUGUCAAUCAACAACCCAUGGAAGAAACAGUGGACGAGGCUCAAGGCCCAAUUAUAGCAGAGAGCAAGUGAAAGUUAUAAAAAGAUUGCUACUUGUGCUUUUGUUAGUUCUUUUUUUUAUUUUACUUAUUCUUUUUAUUUUUUGACAGGCAGAGUGGACAGUGAGAGAGAGACAGAGAGAAAGGUCUUCCUUUGCCGUUGGUUCACCCUCCAAUGGCCGCCGCGGCCGGCGCGCUGCGGCCGGCGCACUGCGCUGAUCCAAUGGCAGGAGCCAGGAGCCAGGUGCUUUUUCCUGGUCUCCCAUGGGGUGCAGGGGCCCAAACACUUGGGCCAUCUUCCACUGCUUUCCCAGGCCAUAGCAGUUAGCUGGAUUGGAAGACAAGCAGCAGGCUUGAACAGGUGCCCAUAUGGGAUGUUGGCAUUGCAGGUGGAAGCUUAGCUUACUAUGCCACAGCAUCAACCCCAUAGUUUUCUUAUACAUUUACACAGUUUCUGAAGACCCAUUGUAUGUACUUAAUGGUAACUCUAACUUUGUAUCCUAUGUGAUACUUACUAAGUUAAAUAUUUUUACUUAAAACUUGAAAUUUUAGGAAAAGAAGUUGCAAAAAUAACAGUAAUGUAUUUCAGUUACUUCUUUGCAUCUGGUAAGACUAUAGGGAACUGUUGAGCUCAUAAAAUAAACAACAACAAAAAAUUAUAGAACCA